rnacentral:rRNA from 1 species
ACGCUCGACACCUACGGGAGCAGCAGUAGGGAAUCUUCCACAAUGGGCGCAAGCCUGAUGGAGCAACACCGCGUGAGUGAAGAAGGGUUUCGGCUCGUAAAGCUCUGUUGUUGGAGAAGAACGUGCGUGAGAGUAACUGUUCACGCAGUGACGGUAUCCAACCAGAAAGUCACGGCUAACUACGUGCCAGCAGCCGUGGUAAUCUGAGGCGGGCGUGGCAAGGC